GCCAGCAGCCAUAUCACCUUGCAACUCACAACUGGCAACCCACUGAAGCUAAGCAGGUGUGAGCCUGGUCAGUACCUGGAUUGGAGACCUCCUGAGAAAGCUAAGGUUGCUGCUGGAA
ensembl:rRNA 5S_rRNA 5S ribosomal RNA